UCCCCUUUUUCCAGACACAAGGGAAGUCUCAGCCAUCAUAAGAACAAUGCAUAUUAUCCAUAAAAUGGAGAAGAAAUGGAGGGGUUCACUGCAGGUCAUAGAGGAGAGGUAAAAAUCCAGAGCUGAUCCCCCCAAAAAUGAGAGGAAAACAUCUGGGAAAGCAAAGAUCUUGGAGAGGGGAGGGAUGGACACCGGGAAGGACUUUUGUGAUCUACAUCAGCAGUCUUCCUGCCCUCAGAAGAUGAACACUCCUUCCUAACUUGGUUUCUACCUGAAAACUGACUGAGGACACACUUGACUCCUUCAUCCAGAUCAUCAGCAAAGAUAUU